rnacentral:rRNA from 1 species
UACGUAGGUGGCAAGCGUUGUCCGGAAUUACUGGGUGUAAAGGGAGCGUAGGCGGGAAAAUAAGUUGAAUGUGAAAUCUAUGGGCUUAACCCAUAUCAGCGUUCAAAACUGUUUUUCUUGAAUGAAGUAGAGGUAGGCGGAAUUCCUAGUGUAGCGGUGAAAUGCGUAAAUAUUAGGAGGAACACCAGUGGCGAAGGCGGCCUACUGGGCUUUAAUUGACGCUGAGGCUCGAAAGCGUGGGUAGCAAACAGG